rnacentral:lncRNA from 1 species
GUCAACUGAGUAAUAAUCAACAAAUAUAGAACAGAACAUUUGUCAAACAAUCAACACCCCAGGCAUCCCUGACUUCAUUCACUGAUAUUCAAUUUCAAACAUUACAAGCACACUGAUGAUUAGGACAUAAAGAUUCACUCAUAGCAGAUACCAGCAAAACAGAGCUUAAAAUUUCUCCAAAUUCAUAAAUUUUAUCCAAGCCCACACAUAAUAUGAGGACAUAACCCCGAGCAGUCAACAAUAUUGUAAAAACCAAUCUCAAAUUGUUAGCCACUGAAAUGCUGCAAGGUAAUCAAUCCAUCAGCUACCACUUUAAAAUAUCAAAUUUAAAACAACAACAGUCUGAAGGCAUGCAACCACCUUUAAAAUGCUGCAAGGUAAUCAAUCCAUCAACUACCACUUCAUAUUUUACAUAUACGCAUACCAAAGGCUAACUAGUGCUAGUAC